AAGGGAGUUUGGAUCGUGGCUCCGGGCCGAUCCUCCCACCCUUUGUGUACCUACCUCUGUUGCUUUGGCGGGCCGCGGUCCUCCGCGGCCGCCCCCCUCCCCGGGGGGUGGCCAGCGCCCGCCAGAGGACCAUCAAACUCCAGUCAGUAAACGAUGCAGUCUGAAAAACAUUUAAUAAACUAAAACUUUCAACAACGGAUCUCUUGGUUCUGGCAUCGAUGAAGAACGCAGCGAAAUGCGAUAAGUAAUGUGAAUUGCAGAAUUCAGUGAAUCAUCGAAUCUUUGAACGCACAUUGCGCCCUUUGGUAUUCCGAAGGGCAUGCCUGUUCGAGCGUCAUUACAACCCUCAAGCUCUGCUUGGUAUUGGGCACCGUCCUUUGCGGGCGCGCCUCAAAGACCUCGGCGGUGGCGUCUUGCCUCAAGCGUAGUAGAACAUACAUCUCGCUUCGGAGCGCAGGGCGUCGCCCGCCGGACGAACCUUCUGAACUUUUCUCAAGGUUGACCUCGGAUCAGGUAGGGAUACCCGCUGAACUUAAGCAUAUCA
rnacentral:rRNA from 1 species